rnacentral:rRNA from 1 species
CUAAGGUAGCGAAAUUCCUUGUCGGGUAAGUUCCGACCCGCACGAAAGGCGUAACGAUUUGGGCACUGUCUCAACAACAGACUCGGUGAAAUUGUAAUACCGGUGAAGAUGCCGGUUACCUGCGACAGGACGGAAAGACCCCAUGGAGCUUUACUGUAGCUUGACGUUGGGUCUUGGUACUACAUGUACAGGAUAGGUGGGAGACUAUGAAGCAUGGACGCCAGUCUGUGUGGAGUCAUCCUUGGGAUACCACCCUUGUAGUACUGGGAUCCUAACCAUAGGCCUUGAAUCAGGUCUUGGAACACCGUCAGGUGGGCAGUUUGACUGGGGCGGUCGCCUCCUAAAAAGUAACGGAGGCGCUCAAAGGUUUCCUCAGCACGGUCGGAAAUCGUGCGAAGAGUGUAAAGGCAAAAGGAAGCUUGAUUGCAAGACAUACAGGUCGAGCAAGGACGAAAGUCGGACUUAGUGAUCCGGUGGUUCCGCAUGGAAGGGCCAUCGCUCAACGGAUAAAAGCUACCCUGGGGAUAACAGGCUGAUCUCCCCCAAGAGUCCACAUCGACGGGGAGGUUUGGCACCUCGAUGUCGGCUCAUCACAUCCUGGGGCUGUAGUAGGUCCCAAGGGUUGGGCUGUUCGCCCAUUAAAGUGGUACGCGAGCUGGGUUCAGAACGUCGUGAGACAGUUCGGUCCCUAUCCGUCGCAGGCGUAGGAAAUUUGAGGAGACCUGUCCUUAGUACGAGAGGACCGGGAUGGACGUACCGCUGGUGUACCAGUUGUUCUGCCAAGGGCAUGGCUGGGUAGCUAAGUACGGAAAGGAUAAGCGCUGAAAGCAUCUAAGCGCGAAGCCCACUUCAAGAUAAGAUUUCCCACCGCAAGGUUAAGAUCCCAGGAAGACUACCUGGUUGAUAGGUCAGAGGUGUAAGUGCAGUAAUGUAUUUAGCUUACUGAUACUAAUAGAUCGAGGACUUGACCAA